rnacentral:rRNA from 1 species
UACGAAGGGGGCUAGCGUUGCUCGGAAUCACUGGGCGUAAAGCGCACGUAGGCGGAUCUUUAAGUCGGGGGUGAAAUCCCGGGGCUCAACCCCGGAACUGCCUUCGAUACUGAGGAUCUUGAGUCCGGGAGAGGUGAGUGGAACUGCGAGUGUAGAGGUGAAAUUCGUAGAUAUUCGCAAGAACACCAGUGGCGAAGGCGGCUCACUGGCCCGAUACUGACGCUGAGGUGCGAAAGCGUGGGGAGCAAACAGG